AGAGAGAAAGAAAACGAAAAAGAAGAAGGAGAAAAAACCUUUUCACUUCCUUUUCCUUCUCUUUCGAGCUCCUCUUCUCUUCAUUCUCUU
rnacentral:ribozyme from 13 species